AUUGAACGCUGGCGGCAUGCUUUACACAUGCAAGUCGAACGGCAGCGCGGGCUUCGGCCUGGCGGCGAGUGGCGAACGGGUGAGUAAUACAUCGGAACGUGCCCAGUAGUGGGGGAUAGCUCGGCGAAAGCCGGAUUAAUACCGCAUACGACCUGAGGGUGAAAGCGGGGGAUCUUCGGACCUCUCGCUAUUGGAGCGGCCGAUGGCAGAUUAGCUAGUUGGUGGGGUAAAGGCCUACCAAGGCGACGAUCUGUAGCUGGUCUGAGAGGACGACCAGCCACACUGGGACUGAGACACGGCCCAGACUCCCACGGGAGGCAGCAGUGGGGAAUUUUGGACAAUGGGCGAAAGCCUGAUCCAGCAAUGCCGCGUGUGUGAUGAAGGCCUUCGGGUUGUAAAGCACUUUUGGCGGGAACGAAAAGGACUGUGCCAAUACCACGGUUCGAUGACGGUACCCGCAGAAUAAGCACCGGCUAACUACGUG
rnacentral:rRNA from 1 species